AUUGAACGCUGGCGGCAUGCCUUACACAUGCAAGUCGAACGGCAGCACGGGAGCAAUCCUGGUGGCGAGUGGCGAACGGGUGAGUAAUAUAUCGGAACGUGCCCAGUCGUGGGGAUAACGUAGCGAAAGCUACGCUAAUACCGCAUACGAUCUAUGGAUGAAAGCGGGGGAUCGCAAGACCUCGCGCGAUUGGAGCGGCCGAUAUCAGAUUAGGUAGUUGGUGAGGUAAAGGCUCACCAAGCCGACGAUCUGUAGCUGGUCUGAGAGGACGACCAGCCACACUGGGACUGAGACACGGCCCAGACUCCUACGGGAGGCAGCAGUGGGGAAUUUUGGACAAUGGGCGCAAGCCUGAUCCAGCAAUGCCGCGUGCAGGAUGAAGGCCUUCGGUGU
rnacentral:rRNA from 1 species